rnacentral:rRNA from 1 species
AUUGAACGCUGGCGGCAGGCCUAACACAUGCAAGUCGAACGGUAACAGGGAUCCGCUUGCUGAUUCGCUGACGAGUGGCGGACGGGUGAGUAAUGUCUGGGAAACUGCCUGAUGGAGGGGGAUAACUACUGGAAACGGUAGCUAAUACCGCAUAACGUCGCAAGACCAAAGAGGGGGACCUUCGGGCCUCUUGCCAUCGGAUGUGCCCAGAUGGGAUUAGCUAGUAGGUGGGGUAACGGCUCACCUAGGCGACGAUCCCUAGCUGGUCUGAGAGGAUGACAGCAGACCCGGGAACAGAGGCACGGCCGACACCCCGGGGGGAGGAAGCGGUGGGGAAUAUUGCACAAGGGGGGAAGGCCUGAUACAGCACUCCGGGGGGAAGGAAGAGGCCGUAGGGGUUGUAAAGUUCUUAAGGGGGGGGGGAAGGAAAAAAAGUUAAUCCGUUAUCUCAUUGACGUUACCGGAAGAAGAAGCCCCGGCUAACUCCGUG